GAGUGAGGGAAAGAUUCCUGUUAGAAACAUUCUAAAGUAUAUGACGACAAGUAGCAAGGAAGACAAGAAAAGAGUUCUUGAAGCUCUCCAGUCUGUUGGCCUUCCACAUGGCAAAAAUGACAGUAUUAGUCCUGACCAAUUUGGUUUUGAAAAAUUUUGGGCAUUUUACAACAGACUAUGUGACAGGCAAGAUAUUGACAAAAUAUUUGCUGAAAUUGGUGCAAAGAAAAAGCC